rnacentral:rRNA from 1 species
AGGGAAAGUUGCAAAGCACUUUGAAGAGAGAGUUAAAGAGGACGUGAAACCGAUAAGAUGGAAACGGAUAGAGCUAGCGUAUCUAGCUUGUAUUCAGCUGCUCUCGCAUGGGUAGCUUGUCUUCCAAUCCAGACUUUGGUUGGUUGGCUUGUGUCACUUGUGUGUGAGCAGUGCACUUGCAAGUGGAGUGCGCUGAGGCGUAUGGAUUGGCGGUUUGAAGUGCGCCCUGAGGAUACCUUUGUGUAAAACCCAGGCGUACCUAGAGCUGUUCGGUCUGUAUGUAAAGAGCAUGGCCUGACGGGCUGGGGCUCUGCCGAGUAAGUCAUUGGUAACGGUCGCAUGCGACACGUGCCAUUUGCUUGCUCGGUUGGGUUCUGGUUCACUUGCUCACCCUCGGUGUAAAAGCUAGUCAUCUAUCCGACCCGUCUUGAAACACGGACCAAGGAGUUUAGCGUAUACGCGAGUCAUUGAGUGAAAAACUUAAAGGCGUAAUGAAAGUGAAUGCUUCUUUUGGAGCUGAUAUGUGACCCUGUGCACUUCGGUGCCCAGGAGCAGCAUAGCCCCGUCCUAAUCGCUUGCGAUGGGGCGGAGGUAGAGCGUAUUCGCUGAGACCCGAAAGAUGGUGAACUAUUCCUGAGCAGGAUGAAGCCAGUGGAAACUCUGGUGGAAGUCCGAAGCGGUUCUGACGUGCAAAUCGAUCGUCUGACU